UUUGAGAGGCAUCUCUUAAAUAUCAAAGGUGAGCCAGUACAGGAUGGACCCGCGUCUGAUUAGCUAGUUGGUAAGGUAACGGCUUACCAAGGCGACGAUCAGUAGCCGACCUGAGAGGGUGAUCGGCCACAUUGGAACUGAGACACGGUCCAAACUCCUACGGGAGGCAGCAGUGGGGAAUAUUGCACAAUGGGCGAAAGCCUGAUGCAGCAACGCCGCGUGAGUGAUGAAGGCCUUCGGGUCGUAAAACUCUGUCCUCAAGGAAGAUAAUGACGGUACUUGAGGAGGAAGCCCCGGCUAACUACGUGCCAGCAGCCGCGGUAAUACGUAGGGGGCUAGCGUUAUCCGGAUUUACUGGGCGUAAAGGGUGCGUAGGCGGUCUUUCAAGUCAGGAGUGAAAGGCUACGGCUCAACCGUAGUAAGCUCUUGAAACUGGGAGACUUGAGUGCAGGAGAGGAGAGUGGAAUUCCUAGUGUAGCGGUGAAAUGCGUAGAUAUUAGGAGGAACACCAGUUGCGAAGGCGGCUCUCUGGACUGUAACUGACGCUGAGGCACGAAAGCGUGGGGAGCAAACAGGAUUAGAUACCCUGGUAGUCCACGCUGUAAACGAUGAGUAC
rnacentral:rRNA from 1 species